GCGAACCCCAAAUGUGUGCGCUGAGCCGAGGCCUCUAAGCGGUAGGAGAGAAUCUGACCUCCGACAUUCUUUUCAAGACACGCGCCGGUGGACCGGGUCCUGGGAUUGGCUUACUCCCGGGCUGGACCUUGGGGUUCGCAUAUUUGAAAGCGUAAACUUGAGGAAUGACGGCGGGGUGAUGGGUAUUUUAUAGAGUGGGACUCAAUCGUGCUCAGCAACAGAUUUCUCCAAAUUCCCUUUUAAAAAGAGCCUUCCAGAGCUGUCGAAAUCUCCGCGGGGUGAAAGCUAAACUUUUGGAGUCGCUGUGUAGCCGGGUAGAGGACACCGCGGCGAGAGCCGGAAAGAGAAGCGACACAGUGUCCAGGCGAAUGGGAAAGAAAAGAUCUUAAUUUUUGUUCCUACUGGUAGCUGAAUGUCGAUAAAAAUCAAAGGGAAUGCGGGGAAGUUUUUAUUCCAGAGCGUUUCCAUGACACCCGCAGAGAUUUAAAAAAUUACAUUCCUCCCCCUACGCAGGUUUAAUUCGGAAAGAAGAGACUGCAGAGGAGAGGGAAGACCGUGAGUCUGCUUUCACCUGGGUUUAAAGCGAAUCAAAGACGGCUGUAAAAAGGGAAACCGGGACCAAAAACAGAUUUGGAGCCUCGAAACUCUCCAUUGAAGGUUUGGAAGAUACGUUGCUGCAGACUUGAAACCGGCUCCAAAUCCGGCCCAAACAUGGGCUGAAAAUAUGGCGCGCUAAUCUGCAGCUUCCCCUCCUCCCCAAGUUCUUUCUGACUCUUCCCGCCUUUCCCAGUUUCCCUUCCAGACGUCUGCGGCUCCCCACUCCACCCCCAGGAUAGCUACUCUACAUCCCGACAAUUCCCAGCUUCUACACCCAGGAGGAGGAAUUUGGAACCACCCAGAGCGAACUCGUGCCGGGGCGGGGUGGGGACCGGAGGAAGGUCCUGCUCCGAAUUCUCUCCAGAGCAGAAAAGAAUUCUAGAGGCUACAUGUGGGCUGCUUUCCCCCCUUCUUCCUUUUUUCCCUCGCAAACCAACAACCAAAAAGUGUUUGGUGAUGGAAAGAACACCAGUGGAAAACGGCAAAUAACAGUAUUUCCAACUCCG
rnacentral:lncRNA from 1 species